rnacentral:rRNA from 1 species
AAUCAACGCUGGCGGCGUGCCUCAGACAUGCAAGUCGAACGCGAAAGUCCCCUUCGGGGGACGAAGUAGAGUGGCGCACGGGUGAGUAACACGUAGGUAAUCUACCUUUGGAUGGGGAAUAACAACCGGAAACGGUUGCUAAUACCGCAUAAUGCAGCGGCACCUAAUGGUGACAGUUGUUAAAGCGGGGGAGUCGAAAGACCUCGCGUCUAAAGAGGAGCCUGCGGCGGAUUAGCUAGUUGGUAAGGAAUGGCUUACCAAGGCUACGAUCCGUAACCGG